GCCGCAGCUGCGGCAUACAGGGUCCAGUCGCAUUAAGCCCCGAAUUUUCGGGGUUUUUUGUUAUCAGGAAUCGCAACACUGGGCUAUAUGCCCUUUUUUU
rfam:Pantoea sp. PSNIH2, complete genome.